GUGCUUGCUUUGGCAGCACAGAUACUAAAAUUGGAACCAUACAGAGAAGAUUAGCAUGGCCCCUGAGCAAGGAUGACACGUACAUUCGUGAAGCAUUCCAUAUUUUC
rnacentral:snRNA from 1 species